CCUACGGGUGGCAGCAGUCGAGAAUCAUUCACAAUGGGGGAAACCCUGAUGGUGCGACGCCGCGUGGGGGAAUGAAGGUCUUCGAAUUGUAAACCCCUGUCAUGUGGGAGCAAAUUAAAAAGAUAGUACCACAAGAGGAAGAGACGGCUAACUCUGUGCCAGCAGCCGCGGUAAUACAGAGGUCUCAAGCGUGGUUCGGAAUCACUGGGCGUAAAGCGUGCGUAGGCUGUUUCGUAAGUCGUGUGUGAAAGGCGCGGGCUCAACCCGCGGACGGCACAUGAUACUGCGAGACUAGAGUAAAGGAGGGGGAACCGGAAUUCUCGGUGUAGCAGUGAAAUGCGUAGAUAUCGAGAGGAACACUCGUGGCGAAGGCGGGUUCCUGGACAUUAACUGACGCUGAGGCACGAAGGCCAGGGGAGCGAAAGGGAUUAGAUACCCUAGUAGUC
rnacentral:rRNA from 1 species